rnacentral:rRNA from 1 species
AAUGGCAGGUCAGCAUACUGCCGUGAAUACGUUCCCGGGCCCUUGUACACACCGCCCGUCACACCAUGAGAGUUGGGAAUACCCGAAGCCUGUGAGCCAACAAACGAGGCAGCAGUCGAAGGUAGAAUCAAUGAUUGGGGUGAAGUCGUAACAAGGUAGC